rnacentral:lncRNA from 1 species
CUACACAAUCCUUAUUAGAUGAACCGCAAUACACUUUUAGGCAUACAUUGUUGGUAUCAUCAUACCAACUACACUUACAAGGUAACACAUUAUGCCAAAAAAAAUUUCAUUAGCUUGGGGAAACAACUUCCUUUGUUCAUUAAUACACAUUGCAGAACACUGACUCCCUUUGUUCAUUAAAUCAUACCAUUGUAUUUCAAAUACUUCUUUAUGUCAUGCAAUAGUUCAAGACUACAAAUUUCCAUAAUUCUCAUAACCAAAACCAAUUUCAAAUUAUGGGGUUGGGGUUAUAACCGCUUCAAAAGUCCCAAGUUUGGGAAAAUCAUAAUUCUCUAGUUCAUUCACCAUACCCAUACAAUAUAUAUAUAUAUAUAUAUAUUAACCAACUUUAAAACCUUGAAAUGUUUCAACCCUUCUCCCAAAAAACUUAUCCAAGCCAGUCUUUCUUGUAUAAACUUUGUAUCAUUGUGAUUUAAAUAAAGGCUUCAAGGUUUCUAUUCAAAUCUUAAGGGGGUUCCUGAAAGGGAAACCUCUUUCCUAGUUACUUCAUGUAAGUUCUUAUUUACAUAUUUUUCCCACAAAAAUAUUUAUGUUUUUUAUAUCCAUGUUCAACGUUAUUUUACAUAUUUUUGUAAAUCAUGUAAAUUAAAUUAUCUAUAAAAUCUUACCCUUAGUAUAUGGUUAGCCUCUUAAUUUCUUAAUACCAACGAUGGAUUAACCUGUAAAUUCCUAGGAAUUCUGGCCUUGAUAGUCCAAUAGGUCUGCAAUUUAGACAAAGGGCGAGUGUUAGCUGCCAGACAAAAAUCUUCCGGGGUGUGGUUAAAGAAGUAUGAUGUUAAGAACAUAGAUUAAGAGGAAGAGAUGAACAGGGUAAAGCUCUGGGGAAAAUAUAAAUUAUAAGAAUGAUAAACAUGAAGAAACAGUAGGAAAGAGGGAGUACUGAGUAGGUUUUACAAACUGAUAUAAAACUUUGUACCACUGUUUUUAUUGAAAUUCUGUUUUGAAAUUCUGUUUUUAUACAACUAUUCUGUUUUUAUUGAACUAUUCUGUUUUUAUUGAAAUAUACAACUAUUUUGGUAUCAGAGCAAAGAAGGUUUUGGAAACAUUUCAAGAUAUAAGGUGUAGUUAUUUCUAUUUAUAUAGAGAAAUCAGAAAAAGAAAGAACAUAAUAACUAGAAAACAUAAUUUAGAAGAAAGUCGAAAAAGACUACUAAAAGUAAAUAGAUUACAUAAAGUUUAUAACG